ACCCAGUUUCUUUAUUUGCAGGGUGAAAACAGAGUUAUUUCUACCUGUCCAUGGUUCUUGAGUAGUUGGAAAUGAUGUCUGAUGUCAUUUCCUGCUGUCCUUUGUUUUUUUGUAAAAUGCUGAGCCAUUUUGUGGCUCUUUUCUGUUUACCCUUUUAAAAAAAAAACCCUUAAAAGGAACAAAAAUCAGAGCAUUUGGAAGUUUUGGGGGCAUUGUUGGAAAGCUGAAGAGCAAGGGUCCCAGCGCUGUACACUGAGCCACUACGGGUUGCACCCUGAGAGUGUCCGCUGAUUGAAAGGAGGCAAGCCCAGAUCAGUGACUCAUAAAGAAAUGCAACAGACAACUUCUGAGAUCAAUCCAGUCUCCUACAUUAUUGCAUACCUGAAUGAUCCAAUCACACUCAGUGCAGAGAAGAGGCAGUAUUACAUAUCCACAAUGGUGACUGGAAGGAGGCAAGACCAGAGAAACGAAUCAUUCAGAGACACAAUGACUCCACUCUGUGGAAGUUUCUCUCUUCAUUUCCAUACAUUGCACUAGCAUUUCUCUCA